UAAACAGUUAUCUAAAUGUGAGUCA
rnacentral:miRNA from 1 species